rnacentral:rRNA from 1 species
GACGAACGCUGGCGGCGUGCUUAACACAUGCAAGUCGAACGGAAAGGCCCUGCUUUUGUGGGGUGCUCGAGUGGCGAACGGGUGAGUAACACGUGAGUAACCUGCCCUUGACUUUGGGAUAACUUCAGGAAACUGGGGCUAAUACCGGAUAGGAGCUCCUGCUGCAUGGUGGGGGUUGGAAAGUUUCGGCGGUUGGGGAUGGACUCGCGGCUUAUCAGCUUGUUGGUGGGGUAGUGGCUUACCAAGGCUUUGACGGGUAGCCGGCCUGAGAGGGUGACCGGGCACAUUGGGACUGAGGGACGGCCCAGACUCCUACGGGAGGCAGCAGUGGGGAGUAUUGCACAAUGGGCGGAAGCCUGAUGCAGCAGCGCCGCGUGCGUGAUGACGGCCUUCGGGUUGUAAACCGCUUUCGCCUGUGACGAAGCGUGAGUGACGGUAAUGGGUAAAGAAGCACCGGCUAACUACGUG